UAGGGAAUCUUCCACAAUGGACGCAAGUCUGAUGGAGCAACGCCGCGUGAGUGAAGAAGGUCCUCGGAUCGUAAAACUCUGUUGUUAGAGAAGAACACGAGUGAGAGUAACUGUUCAUUCGAUGACGGUAUCUAACCAGCAAGUCACGGCUAACUACGUGCCAG
rnacentral:rRNA from 1 species